rnacentral:rRNA from 1 species
UUGGAGGGCAAGUCUGGUGCCAGCAGCCGCGGUAAUUCCAGCUCCAAUAGCGUAUAUUAAAGUUGUUGCAGUUAAAAAGCUCGUAGUUGAAUUUCGGGGUUAGUAGGUUGGUCAUGCCUCUGGUAUGUACUGGUCUCACUGAUUCCUCCUUCCUGAUGAGCCGUAAUGCCAUUAAUUUGGUGUUGCGGGGAAUUUGGACUGUUACUUUGAAAAAAUUAGAGUGUUUAAAGCAGGCAUUAGCUUGAAUACAUUAGCAUGGAAUAAUGAAAUAGGACGUUCGAUCCUAUUUUGUUGGUUUCUAGGAUUGACGUAAUGAUUAAUAGGGAUAGUUGGGGGCAUUAGUAUUCAAUUGUCAGAGGUGAAAUUCUUGGAUUUAUUGAAGACUAACUACUGCGAAGGCAUUUGCCAAGGAUGUUUUCAUUAAUCAAGAACGAAAGUUAGGGGAUCGAAGACGAUCAGAUACCGUCGUAGUCUUAACCAUAAACUAUGCCGACUAGGGAUCGGAUGAUGUUAAUUUUUUAAUGACUCAUUCGGCGCCUUACGGGAAAC